rnacentral:rRNA from 1 species
ACCAAGGCGACGAUGCGUAGCCGACCUGAGAGGGUGAUCGGCCACAUUGGGACUGAGACACGGCCCAGACUCCUACGGGAGGCAGCAGUGGGGAAUCUUCCGCAAUGGGCGAAAGCCUGACGGAGCAACGCCGCGUGAGUGAUGACGGCCUUCGGGUUGUAAAACUCUGUCUUUGGGGACGAUAAUGACGGUACCCAAGGAGGAAGCCACGGCUAACUAC